rfam:Candidatus Kaiserbacteria bacterium GWA2_50_9 gwa2_scaffold_17037, whole genome shotgun sequence.
GGAGGGGUACCGAAGUGGUUUAACGGACCAGUUUCGAAAACUGGCAGGGGCGAAAGUCUCUCGGGAGUUCGAAUCUCCCCCCCUCCG